rnacentral:rRNA from 1 species
UAGCCGUAAACGAUACUCGCUAGGUGUCGGCCACGGUGCGACCGUUGUCGGUGCCGUAGGGAAGCCGUGAAGCGAGCCACCUGGGAAGUACGGCCGCAAGGCUGAAACUUAAAGGAAUUGGCGGGGGAGCACAACAACGGGUGGAGCUUGCGGUUUAAUCGGAUUCAACGCCGGAAAUCUUACCGGGACCGACAGCAACAUGAAGGCCAGGCUGAAGACUUUGCCGGAUUAGCUGAGAGGUGGUGCAUGGCGUAGUCGUGU